rnacentral:rRNA from 1 species
GACGAACGCUGGCGGCGUGCUUAACACAUGCAAGUCGAACGAAGUGGCGAACGGGUGAGUAACGCGUAAUCAACCUGCCCUUCAGAGGGGGACAACAGUUGGAAACGACUGCUAAUACCGCAUACUGAAGGAGGGGAUUGCGUCUGAUUAGCUAGUUGGAGGGGUAACGGCCCACCAAGGCGAUGAUCAGUAGGCGGGCUGGGAGGAAGGACGGGCAAAUUGGGACCGGGACACCGCCCCGAAUCCUUAGGGGGGGAGCAGUGGGGGAACUUUCGAAAAGGGGGAAAAGCCGAAUGCGCAAAGGCGGGGGGUAGAUGAAGGGCUUUGGGGUGGAAAGGUCCGUUAAUCGGGAAGCGGUACCGGAAGAGAAAGCAACGGCUAACUACGUGCCAGCCGCCGCGGUAAUAC